UACGUAGGCAGCAAGCGUUGUUCGGAAUUACUGGGCGUAAAGAGUGUGUAGGUGGUGAUCUAAGUCUGUCGUGAAAUCUCCCGGCUUAACUGGGAGGGUGCGGCGGAAACUGGGUUGCUAGAGUAUGGGAGAGGUAAGCGGAAUUCCUGGUGUAGCGGUGAAAUGCGUAGAUAUCAGGAGGAACACCUGUGGUGUAGACAGCUUACUGGACCAUUACUGACACUGAGACACGAAAGCGUGGGUAGCAAACAGG
rnacentral:rRNA from 1 species